rnacentral:lncRNA from 1 species
AUGUCCGAAGGCAUUGUGAGGAAGGUGCAGCCCUUCACCAUCGGGACGAGGCUGUCAGUGCCCGCCGUGCCAAAGUGCGAGGAUUUUACGCAGAGCUACCUGCGGAGCCCGAGUCUGGACAACCGCGCGCUGCAGCGCAACCUCAACUCGCUGUACCUGGGUCGAGCCGCGGUCCGCGCGCACGAGCCGCGCGUCGCGCCGCCCGUCGCCGAGCGGCUGGCGCCCGUCGCCGAGCGGCUGGCACCCGUCGCCGAGCGCAGCCAGGAGCGGCACAUGGCCGCGCAGGACCACCUGAACCAGAACGUCGCCGCCCCCUCCUCCGCCGUCUCCAGGUCCAUCAGGAAGAUCGCCAUCUCCGCGAGGGCGCCGACGCGCUCCGGCGCAGGGUGCACGUCCGAAAACAACAACAACAACAACAACAACAACAACAACGUCACGAGCGCCUCAGACCCACUCCUGCCCCGGGUUGUGGGAGUGAGCUGUGAGAAGAAGCCCACUGCUCAGUUCAAGGUUAUACUCAGAAAAGACGGCAGUGCUGAAUCUCAGCCCACACCUGAGAAAUCUGUCCAACAGAUCCCACUGCCUGAAUCACAGAGGAAAGAGCCUCAGAGGAAGGAAAGUCAUCCACGCACACAGGACGAAGCGCCGGCAGCCGCCGCAUCCCAGAGUGACUGCUUCGCUCAGCGCAACUCGCUCUUCAACAGGGAAGUUCUGCAGGCAGAGGCAUGGAUCAAGGGCAAACUGCAGGAUCUGAAGGAUGGCUGUAAUAUUCAGCGCUGCCCCCUGCAGGACUGGGAGGAAGCCUCGCAGACGCUUCAGAGGGACCUCAAAGACUUUGAGAACACACUAAUUCAACUCAACCAGAUGGGUGAGCAGUUGAUCUGCAAGCUGAACCCUACAUCCGACGCGGUGAAGAAGCAGCUCGGCCUGCUCAGGGACCAGUGGCAGACCCUCAAACACACGGCUGCAAAUCAGACGAGGGCCCUCGGGGGAGCCAAGAACCUGCAGGAGUUCAACAAAAAAGUGGACGAGCUGGAGGCGUGGAUUAAAGAGAAGGUAUAAAAAAAAAACAUUCCUCUCUUUAUCUGUGGUUCAACUAAGUGUAAGCCAUGUUCUGUUGAACUAUUGAGUUAAAACUUUGGCUUUUUAAAAAACAAUAUCGGCUAUUUUGCUCAAUUUGUGCAAUUUCUUAUUUUAUUUUAUUGCUGAUGUUUUCAUUAUCAAAUUUAACACAAAUGUGAAACUAUGCUUUAGA